AAGGAACAACGACGCACUGAUAGAAAUUUGAGACGUCGCACCAGGCGUGUACCAAAUGAAGUAUUUGAGAAAUUGAGAAUCAAAAUGUUCAUUCAAUUAAAGAAAACGUAUAUAAAAGAAUGAGUGUUUCUUUAUGCCUGUUCGUGAAGUAUAAAACGGUUCAUUUGUUCCUGAAUAGCUUCUUUCAAAAGGGCUUCUGCUUCCUCGAGUUCAGGGUGAAAGACCAUUUUGUAGUGAAAAAAUAACGAGAAGGCGUAUAUUGAUACGCUCAAUGGACAUGUCUCUCUAGUACUAAUGUAUAGUGAAGAAGCAAUCAACAGAGGUGUGAAAAAGAAAUCUGCAUGGAAAAGUGAAAGCUACAUAAUUGCUCACAGUUCAAUGAUCAAGAAAUAUUUUUAGCAGCCACUAUUUUCCUUUGGAGCUCUCUUUACUUUGAUCUUUCUUAGCAUUUUUAAUACUGUAAUUCUCAACUGAAAGUUGUGGUCAUUUGCAAUUUUCCUCCAAAGCUCAAUGAUGGCGGGGCAUUUUCUCUUGGUUAUUGCUCAAAAUUACAACUGUUAAUGACUGCUAUGUGUUAUGAGUUGUUGAAGCAUUUAGAUUUAUUUUGCUGUGUCAAAUGAAGAUAUCAAUGGAUGAAGUGUAACUUUUUGGUGA